ACGACCUUACUUGAACAGGAUCUGUUCUAUAGGCUCGUACCGCUGCAUCCUUUACNAAUAAGGAGGCAAGCACUUCAGUCUGGUUGAUGCAUUCUCACCUCUAGGCCAGAGCGUGAUUAACGGCAUUGAUGCACGAUUGGUGUCAUCUGAUGGUUGUAGAGGAUCGUUCUUGCCUAGCUCACACUAGUGCAGGGUGGCCUAGAGGUUGUCUGACAGACU
rfam:Hordeum vulgare subsp. vulgare, WGS project CAJW01000000 data, contig: morex_contig_40913